CAUAGUCAAACCACAGAGAUGCACGCUUGGAUGACAGAGCUGAGCUACCCUCGCUGGUUUCGUAACUAUUCCUCAGAAGAGAGACAAUCACCAAACCCCCAAAUCUUCUAGAAAAAUCAACCGUGAAAAACAGAUAAGUGAUGAAACUUCAUUCGGCCUGAUCAACGGCUGUGAAGAACUCUCAAAGUCCCUUUAGCAGGCUGGAAAUACGAACGCUAUUUUUUCCAACACAGAAGUCUGCAUUUUUCUCAAAGCCUGGGCUUUGGCGUUCACCGAUGUUUUUUAAAGCCAGGGUCCCUGAUGCCUCUUUUGGGUCUGGUCUUGGGUCUUCUCAUCGUCAAUGCUUCCCAGCAGAUGCGUCUGUCUUGAUCUCCAAUGCCUGAGAACAAUGACACGUUCCCUAAACAAUUAGUGCAUAAAUGGCCGAGAGGGCGGAAUUGAAAGGAAGUGCAGCGAGCCAGAAUUUAGAUGCCCGCCGAGUUUCCAGCCAAAAGUAGCAUCAAAGUCUGUGGGAAAUGAUGCUUCACAGAUGCAAAAGGGUUUCUCAGCACUCCUGGGUCUCUGGAGCCCGUGUUUACACCUCUUGAAGUCAUCUCCAUCAGCAUCUCCACGUUUGAACCACUCAGCUUGGAUUCUGACUGGCUGUUGUAUCUCCCAUUCACUGAUGGAUAAAUGGAGGCUAAGAGGACUCAAGCUGUGCCCACACAUCUGUAUUGGACAAUACAAAGAUAGGGAGAAAAACGGAGACAUAGAGAACAUGCAGAAGUGACGCCAUCGCAGGAGAACCCAUGGCCACAAGAAAGGAGGAUUCCAGAAGAGGACGCUCCUGGGAAACAGGAUGUCAAGAUUCUUGACCACCUGUUGACAGCAGCUUCAGAGUCUGGAGGGUCCCAUGGUGCUCAAGGAGGAGCCAUUGAAGGAAAGAUGUUCAAGUGGGAAGAAUGGAGACACUCGUAAGGGUAAAGGGAGCUUCAGUCAGUCUACUUCUAAGUACCAGGAGAUGUUUUGUGUGGAGCACCCUGCUUGAGGUUGGCCUUGCAAGGAACUUCAGUCAAUAAGAAAAUAUCUAUGGCCAAUGAUUUGGGGUCAGCUGGUUCCUUCCAACGGCAUCAUAAGGAUGUGCCAAAACUCUACCUGUGUAGUCUGUCCUGAAGAGCCCAGUGCAGAGCAGGUCUCUAAGUACAGUGUAAACAGUGGUCCUGCCUCACCCUGGGUUAAGGACAGAUGCACAGAUGCAUGGGGAAUGGCUGGGAAAUGUCUUCCUGGAUUCCCCCAUAAGUCAUUCAUUCUCUAUGACGUCUACUGGUUUUGGAAAUAUAAAGAGCACACAAAUGAAAGGAGAGGGAACCAGUCAGAGAAAGAGAAAAAUGGAGGGUCUGAGUUCUUGCCACUUCCUACAGAGAUGGCUGGUUCAGUAUUCCCCCGUGCCUGCUACACUCCCUGGGCUUCAGCCUCCACUUUAAUGCAUAAUUUAUGGAUGCAAUUAACAGAAACCAAUCAACCAAGACUGUGCACACAGUACUGUGUUUAACAACAGAUGCCUCCAAUAGUGAUUAUGUUAGAAUAAUAACAACACUGAAAACACGCCCGGUCAUCAGGACUGUGUUGCCAAAGCUAACAAGACUGAUGGUUUUACCAAUAAAAAAGCCAGCGAGCGAGCCUGGGAGGAGGAUUCUGGGUGCUGUGGCUGCCGCUUGUUUUUCUUAUGCAGAGGCUCAGACUUUUAAACUUCUGUGUGUGUGUGUGUGUGUGUACACAUGUAUGUGCACCCAUGUGAAGACAGGUGUCCUUCCUCAGGAACUAGGGUCUAUCUCUCAUUUGCACCUGGGGCUUGACGAUUAGGUUAAUUGGGCUGGCCAGUGAUCUCUAAGCAUCCCCCUGACUUUUUCUUCUCCGGAUCUAGGAUUAUAAUUAUAACCAAGCCACUACCCUUAGAUUCUAACUUUUGUUUCUUUGUUUACUUGGGGGGGGGGGGGAUGAAUGAGAAGUAUUGCCCCAUAGGCUGGGGUAUUUAAAUACUUGGUGCCCAGUUGAUAGAACUGAUUGGAGAGGUUAUAGGGAGAUGUAGCCUUGCUGUAGGAAGUAUGUUACUGGACCUGGGUUUGGGAGGUUAGGGCCGCACACAACUUUCAAUUCAUUCUCGACUUCAUGCUUGCAGCUGAGGGCGGGAGCUCUCAACUUUCCACUCCAGUCACCAUGCCUGCUGCUGGUUGCCAUGCCUUCCUGUCAGGACGGACUUUGGAACCAUAAGCCCAAAUAACCAUUUUGUCCUAUAAGUUGCCUUGAUCAUUGUGUGAUAUCGCAGUAAUAGAAAAGUAACUAAAACUAUGGGUCCUGGGGCUUCAACUCCGAGCCUCCUGCUUACAUCACUAACAGUUUACAAACAGCAGCAUUUGCGGUCUGGCUUUCUCAUUCAUUGCGUCUCAGUUCAUCCUGUUCCCAACACUGCCAUCUAAGGGAACUGUUCUGGAUGUAGGUGGUCAUCAACCCCUGUAGCUUGUAGAUCCUCUAAACUGUACCAGAGGAUCUGCUUCUUGCCCAGCUUCCGAUCACGGCUCGGCAGCAGGCAGCUUCCUCUGUGUAUUCCUGUGCAGAUGUGAGUCUGUUUCCUCACGCACCUCACCUUCUGCUCCACUUCUCUCUGUGUCUAUCAGUCCCUUGGCUUCCCCAUCAACGAGGGUCCCUUUGCACAAAGGCGGUGUUAGAACUACACGGUUUCACACAGGGAAAUCCCUUGGCCGAGGACUCAGGUCAGAACAAACUGAAACUUGUGAUUGUCGCCAUAGGGAGCCUCAAGCUGGUGCAGGAGGCCUGUGGAGAUUCUGCUGAACAUCGGGGUCCCGCUGUGCGUCUGCUUUUCGUCCUUUAUUUAUUUCUAUUGCAUUCUCAAUAGAGUCUCUCACCUUGUAGCUAGAGCCUGCUUCAUGCCUUCACACUCCUGCUUCCCUCACCGAGCAAGUGCGGGGUAACAGUCAUCACUGCGCAAGUGCGCAGGAGGGUAACAGACUUGUACCUCCUGCAUGGCAUUUUGUCAUGAAUUCUUUUUAACUUAGUAAAAAUGUAAAGGACUUUGCUAUGCUGGGUUUUGUUUUGUUUUGUUUUGUUUUUUACACAUCUGUGCCAUUGUAUUUGAUUAUUUUUAUUUAAUCCCGAUCCCUCCGCUGCCCUCCCCCUUCCUGGUACUCUUCUGGGUCCCCAACAUUUAGGCCCCUUUGCUUUCAAACCCUAUGAAUUCUAUCCUUCCCUGCCCCAAGUUCUAACUGUGGAGUGCUUGGUCAUUCUGAAAGUGAGCAUCCAGGCCAGCCCCGUUUUCUGUAUUCACACCCUUUAUAUCUAAGCUACAGCUGCCUUUAUGCCACCGUCACGGAGGAGUCCAGGGGUGAGCAUCACGUGCUGUAGGCAGCUGACAACCGGGGGCUGCCAUGGUCUGUCAGUGGGAUGCAUCCCAGACCUGUGAACAUGGCUGCUCUCAACGGACAGGUUUUUCCUUCAGCCUGGAAGCUGAUGAUGAACGGGGGCUCCAACUGUUCCCAAGCUGCAGUAAAACUUCUCCAUCUGUCACCACGGUUUCCCGUUCUUCACUCUUUCGAGCUGAGUUUUCAAGAGCCCUGUGUUUGACUCAAGGAGGUGCAGAAUGAGGACUCUGACACUUUCUGACCGCUACAGUCACAUUUGCCUGUGAGCCACAAACAUACUUUGAGUGAAAGUCCACGAGACUCUCCAUCUCCUUCUCUCCACCUUUAGUGCUUUUGUUUGUUUCUUUGCUUAAGACGGGAUCUCACAUAUGCCAAGCUGGUUUUGAACUCAUACAGUUAAAAGGACCUUGAACCCUUGGGAGUUUCCGCCUCCACCUCCAGAGUGCUGGGAUUACAGUUGAGCACCAGGCUUAGUCUUUUUAGUCUAAAAAAAAAAGUAGAAAUAAGAUGGUCUGUUGGUUUGCUGCAAAUUUACUGUUUCCCCGUUGUUCAAAAGGCUAGGGGUAAUUUCAGUUAUCUUUAGACACGUGUGAUCAACACUGUUUGUCACAGACUCCAUUAAUUUGAGAAAUAAUACA